AUGGCCGAAAGCCUCAGGUUUCUGGAGGAAGGUUCGUCCGCUCCAGGUUAGUCGGGAGCUAAGGUGAGGCCUAACGGCGUAGCCGAUGCACAGACGGUAGAGAUUCCGUCACCACCAAAAGAGUUAAGCACAGGGACACAUUUGAAGUCUCGGAGCCGGGUGUUGGUUCCGGUAGCGAUCGAGGGAAAUUAGUACCGAAGUCCGGGAUGGAAGAUGGCGAGAAAAGCUGUGUGUAUUUCUGCGGUGCCCGUACCGCAAACCGACACAGGUAGGUAGGAAGAAGAUUCUAAGGCCAACGGGAGAAGGGUUGUUAAG
rnacentral:rRNA from 1 species